UUAAGGAUUAAACUGAGAGCUAAACGAAGUUAAAAGGCCAAAUUUAAAAAUAGAAAACACCAGGAAGGACCAAAUUAAUACGCGCGCCAUGAGAGGAGGACUUAAAAAGAAAUUUUCCCAAGUCACUCAAGCACUGCGCAGUGAUAUGGAUUAAAUCAUCAUGCGAGCGAAAUAUUUGGGCCGAAUUUAAAAGAAAAAAACUUGAUUAAACACAUCGCAAAAUGGGGAGGGCUAGAUGCGAAAUUUCCCCACUCAGGGCCAGAACGCGCGGAUCCCCCCUCCGGGUCGGGUCGACGCGCGGGUCAUGGCACCCUAAACGGCGCCGUUUCGUCUUGUUUUAAAAACUCCUAAAUCUGACUUUCUUUGAUUUGAAACUGGAAAGAAAAAAAAAAACCCUAGGGGUUUUGUUUUCUCCCCCGAGCCGCUUCCAGUCGAUCCGGCCGAUCCGAAUCUCGGCCCUAAAUCCGGCUCCGAUUAAGACGAAGCAGACAUGGUUUUCAAUGGCGCAACCACGUAGGUGAUGCGUGCGGGGAAGGCGCGAGAUUCGUGGCGACGAGGAGCGCGAUGUGCGGGCGCGACGCGCGGGAGUAGUUGCAGCACCAGUUACUGCGGCGCUGAAGCAGAAGCUUGUUUAGGGUUUCUGCAAUUUUGAUGUUUUUUGGGCUAGGGUCUGAAAAUUAGUUGUUGAGCCUGUUAAUGGUUUGGGCCCAGGCAUUAUUGGGUUUUUACAAUUCCUCAAUUAUUUGGAUUAGAUUUAGAUUGAAAAACAAUCGACACUUGAUUUGAUUGUUUAAAUUUAUAAUAUUUAACUUGAGUGAGAAUGAAUUUUUUACUUAAUUAAAAUUUUAAAA